CCUUCCCCCACCUUUAGCUUUGCUCUGGCCACCGCACCACCUUCGUUCAACCUAUUUCGACGUCGCCGACGCGUUUCCGCUCUCACUUUUCUGAUUGGCGAUCGUGGAAGGAAAAAUCAUGGUGAAUAGUGUCGAGCUUCAUGGUGGCACCUGCGUUUGCACUCUGUUCUCUUAGCCUGUGAAAACUUUUCAGAUGGGUGCAAGAAGAAGGUUAUGAAGCCUCAAUUCAUUCCGGCUAAACAUGAUAUAUGUUAAAGGUGUGAUUUUUAGGGUUUUGGAUUUGAUAUGAAUUUGGUUUUGUGAUAGAUUUUGAGGGCGGAUCCGAUUGAGACUGAGGAAGCUGUGCUGAGGUUGCCUCUAAUUUCUCUACUCCCAGGUUAUGUGCAAGUUGAUGAAAGUUGCAAUGAAGUGACUUAAUUAUCCGCAUCAUUAAAAGAGCUUAGGACUUGUGCUGCGUAUGCCUACGGUUCCGGCAUCAUCAACUUCAGGAUUUCUAUGAGGAUCUAUUUGAGGAGCUGAGCAAGUAAGAACAAAAAAAAAACUUGAAUAGCUGUGAUAUUUGGCUGAUCACAUAGUUGGUAGUGUGUACAUUUUGUUCAGGGAGGAACAACAUGUUGCAGCCGUGCUCCACAAUCUCACUAUGAGGUUGAAUUCACUUGUGGAACGGUGUAAUCAGGCAAGUGUUCAAGUUUAAUUAAAUUAGUUAUCCUAUACAAUUUAUACAUAGGCCUCUUUUAGGGAGUG